rnacentral:lncRNA from 1 species
UCGAGAUCAACUACUCUCGAAAGAACAGCCAAAGAGAUCGACGAUUAACUGAAUCUCUCAAGCUAAUCAAAGAGACAAGAAACCAGAUCUCGGAAGUCAGGUGAGUCUUAUUUUCGUACUUGUAUUUAUCUCUGAUCCUCUAAUGAAUUUACCUGCCAUUGGAUUUCAUUUUCUGUCGCUUAUUUAUCACCGAAUUUUACAACACCAUGGUGUGCCAUAGUUAGGAAUGAACCAUAUAUGAUAGCGAACACGUUAGUUUCGCUGCCUGAAUCUUCCAAAUCUGUUGAUUCACCAUGGCGGCGGCCGCUCACGUUGAUCGUCGUAGCCGUGGGUAUGACCUUGUGCUCACAAAGUGAAACCCAAAAAUUCACAGCCUUUUUCGCCCAUCUGCUCCCCACGAACAGCGGCUAAUGGCGGUCCGGCGUAACAACCCCCCCGCCCUCCCUCCAAUCCUUGAGAAGAAGACGCAAUACACAGAGAGACAUAGAGAGGCAGCAGUGGAGAGUCCUCUUUUUCUGAGAUCCGCCAGCAAGAACGCCCACUUCACGGAAAUUCAUGUCACGAGGAUCCCCGAUAUUUCAACCCCCCUCUCUUCUCCUCAAACCCAUAGACUUCAGGGCGCAGAGUCAACGCCCUCUCUUUUCCUGAAGCCCACAGACUUAAAGAUGCAGAGUCAAUGAUGUUGACACUGCGGUUUAGGGGGAUAUGACUUGUGCGGCAUACCGGACGGAGAUUGGGCUCUUGGCGGCUGAUCCGUUCCGAUCGAAACCCCUCUCUCCCGCAAUCGGGAUUGGACUUGGUAUUCUAUUUCCCUUCCCCGAGAGUCGUUCUUUUCCCGCAUUUCAAUGGAUUUUUGUCACCAGAGCUGGAGAAGCUGCUCGAGUUCACUGGGCAUAUUCUUCGACAUGUGAAUCAUCAGUGCUCUUGUCUUUUCAGGCUGCUGGUUGGGACAGUUUCUUCUUUCAGUAAAGCUUCACAUCGCAGGAUUCAAGCUCUUUCCUCCGUCGCACAAGCUUUGUGGUCGUCCUCGAAAAAGAACAAGAGCCACCUCCCAGAGGUAAGAGAGAAGAUUUGCUCGAGACCAGGAAUAAGACGAAGAAAUCAAAGCUACCAACAAGGUGCCGACGUCUCCACCACUGAUUGCUGCCCAAGAAGAGCUACACCCUUCUGGUAUACGCCGCAUUUAGUCUCAGGUUGAAUUACUAUGGAUUUGCUCACGGAAAACAGAAAUCUUCGUUACUUGGUUUCUGCGUGAUAUAGCUGGACUGAAUUCCUCGCCAGCUUUCCUAGGGGCUAUUUGAAUCUGGUUUUGCUGUAACUGGAGAGAAGGGAGAAAAAAUGUCGACAUGGGAGAUACU